GACGUAAGGUGCGAGCGUUGUCCGGAUUUAUUGGGCGUAAAGGGCGCGCAGGCGGCUUGGCAAGUCGAGUGUGAAAGCCCUCAGCUUAACUGAGGGAUGGCGCUCGAAACUACCCGGCUUGAGGGCGGGAGAGGGAAGUGGAACUCUCGGUGUAGGGGUGAAAUCUGUAGAUAUCGAGAGGAACACCGGUGGCGAAGGCGGCUUCCUGGCCCGUACCUGACGCUGAGGCGCGAAAGCGUGGGGAGCAAACAGG
rnacentral:rRNA from 1 species